CUUUCCCUUCUCUUUUUCACUUCUUUUUCCUUCUCCUUUUCUUCCUCUCCUCUCCUUCUCUUCCGCACGCACCUCUGUUCCAUCAGCUCUCCCUCUCCCUUUUCCUCCUACUCUCUUCAUCAGCUCACGCACAAACAUAUACCUCUCCCCUGUUUCUCCAUUUCAACCGAAACCCAUCCUUUCUUCCUUUUCUUUUACAAACUGAGAGAGUGAUUUAGAGAGAUGAGUUGAGAGAGAACCCGUACGUGGAGGUGGGUUCUUGGUCGUCAGUAGUGCGAUUUCGGAGCUAUGGUGGUCGGGCCACCGUCAUGGAGUGGAGGCAGCGUCUAGGACAGUGAAUUUCGGCCCUGUUCAGGCACGUGUCAUGAUUGGAGACUUCAACUUGUUCUCCAAUGUAAAGUUCAAGUAAAUAGAAUAUGGGGAGUAUUCGAGUCAAAAGUCCUAUGCAGUCAAGAUGAUGUUCCGUUGGCUGCAGGUACUCCGGUCAUAGUUUAUGGUGUUAUAGAUGUGCACUUGAGAUAUUAUGACCAAGGAUCGCCGCGACGGUCGUAAUUGCGGGACAAUGGGCGUCCUUUGUUUUAUGGGUUUGUUUAUGGUUUGUGACGUUUGUGUCACUUGUUAUUGUAUAAGUUAUUUAUAUUAUGUAUUUAAUUUGAGGAAAGACUUAAAUAGAUAGAUAUAAUAUUGGCUCUUGAUUAUGAUUAAUUUAUGAUA